AAUGAACGCUGGCGGCGUGCCUAACACAUGCAAGUCGUACGAGAAAUCCCGAGCUUGCUUGGGAGAGUAAAGUGGCGCACGGGUGAGUAACGCGUGGGUAACUCACCCUCGAAUCUGGGAUAACUCCGCGAAAGCGGUGCUAAUACCGGAUAAGACCACAUUCCGUUCGCGGAAAGAGGUAAAAGCUGACCUCUCCAUGGAAGUUAGCGUUUGAGGACGGGCCCGCGUCCUAUCAGCUUGUUGGUGGGGUAAUGGCCUACCAAGGCAGCGACGGGUAGCUGGUCUGAGAGGAUGAUCAGCCACACUGGAACUGGAACACGGUCCAGACUCCUACGGGAGGCAGCAGUGAGGAAUUUUGCGCAAUGGGGGAAACCCUGACGCAGCAACGCCGCGUGGGUGAAGAAGGCUUUCGGGUCGUAAAGCCCUGUCAGGUGGGAAGAAACUCUUCAGUACUAAUAAUGCUGAAGCCUGACGGUACCACCAGAGGAAGCACCGGCCAACUCCGUG
rnacentral:rRNA from 1 species